rfam:Erinaceus europaeus unplaced genomic scaffold scaffold00395, whole genome shotgun sequence
GGGUGAGGGAGAUCUGGCUGCAACAUCUGUCACCCCACUGAUCGCCAGGGUUGAUUUGGCUCAUCUGGCUAGCUAGGCGGGCGUCCCCUUCCUCCCUCACCAUUCCAUGUGCGUCCCUCCCGCAGCUGCCCGCUUGGUUGAAGAGGAUGGCCUUCCCCGAAUAGAGAUGGACCAGUCUUUGGUUGAGGAUAUAUGAGUAGCUGCACUCCCCUGCUAGAACCUCCAAACAAGCUCUCACUAAUACAUAUGAUGGAAAGAUGUGGCCAGGCAAUAGCACAACUAGUUAAGUGCACAUAUUGUACU